rnacentral:rRNA from 1 species
ACCAAACCCUAUCAAACUCCGAAUACUUAUAGCGUAACCACGGCAGUCAGGCGGCGAGUGAUAAAAUCCGUCGUCAAGAGGGAAACAACCCGGACUAACAGCUAAGGUCCCCAAAUCUCAUUUAAGUGGAAAACGAUGUGAAGUUACUGAAACAACCAGGAGGUUGGCUUAGAAGCAGCCAUCCUUUAAAGAUAGCGUAAUAGCUCACUGGUCUAGUGAUUUUGCGCGGAAAAUAUAACGGGGCUAAAAUGAGUACCGAAGCUUUAGAUAGUGUCUAUGAUUAUUUAUACUAAGCUUGUCUCUUUGGCAUCUUUAAAUGAGCUUCAUUUUUUCUCCUGCGGCAACCUACACGGUUAGCCUUAGUCGAAAAAAUAUCAGCAACAUUUAAAUCUGCUCAAAGAUACUUCGCUUCUUACAUUAAAAUUUAAAUGCAAUGUCUUGAUUUAAAUUUUAGAAAUUUCAAAAUUUCUUAGAAUUUUAAAAUUUAGUAACAAAAGCAAAAAGAUAAGCCUAAGUAAAGUAUAAAUACUCAUAGACACUGUGGUAGGAGAGCGUUCCAAUCAGCGUCGAAGCCGUACCGGUAAGGAGCGGUGGAGCGGUUGGAAGUGAGCAUGCAGGCAUGAGUAGCGAUAAAAUACGUGAGAAUCGUAUUCGCCGUAAACCCAAGGUUUCCUACGCGAUGCUCGUCAUCGUAGGGUUAGUCGGGUCCUAAGCAAAGUCCGAAAGGGGUAUGCGAUGGAAAAUCGGUUAAUAUUCCGAUACCGAUAUCAGUGUGCGACGGAAGGACGCUUAAAGUUAGUGGAGCUAGCGGAUGGAAGUGCUAGUCUAAGGAAGUAGGUUGAGUUAUAGGCAAAUCCGUAACUCUUUAUCCGAGAUCUGAAAGGCUUCUGACGCUCUUCGGAGUAGAUGAAGAAUCCAUGAUACUAUCGAGCCGAGAAAAGUUUCUAAGUUUAGCUGAUAUCGCCCGUACCGUAAACCGACACAGGUGGGUGGGAUGAGUAUUCUAAGGCGCGUGGAAGAACUCUCUUUAAGGAACUCUGCAAAAUAGCACCGUAUCUUCGGUAUAAGGUGUGCCUAGCUUCGUUAAGAAUUUACUUCGUAAGCGAAGAAGGUUACAACAAAGAGUCCCUCCCGACUGUUUACCAUAAACACAGCACUCUGCUAACUCGUAAGAGGAUGUAUAGGGUGUGACGCCUGCCCGGUGCUCGAAGGUUAAUUGAUGAUGUUAGCUUAUGCAAAGCAUCUGAUCGAAGCCCGAGUAAACGGCGGCCGUAACUAUAACGGUCCUAAGGUAGCGAAAUUCCUUGUCGGUUAAAUACCGACCUGCAUGAAUGGCGUAACGAGAUGGGAGCUGUCUCAAAGAGGGAUCCAGUGAAAUUGUAGUGGAGGUGAAAAUUCCUCCUACCCGCGGCAAGACGGAAAGACCCCGUGGACCUUUACUAUAGCUUGACACUGCUACUUGGAUAAAGAUGCGCAGGAUAGGUGGGAGGCUUCGAUUCGUAGAUCUCGGUUUACGAUGAGCCAUUGUUGAGAUACCACUCUUCUUUAUUCGGGUAGCUAACUAGCCUAAGUUAUCCUUAGGUAGGACAAUGUCUGGUGGGUAGUUUGACUGGGGCGGUCGCCUCCCAAAAUGUAACGGAGGCUUACAAAGGUUGGCUCAAAGCGGUUGGAAAUCGCUUGCAGAGUAUAAAGGCAAAAGCCAGCUUAACUGCGAGACAUACACGUCGAGCAGAGACGAAAGUCGGUCUUAGUGAUCCGGUGGUUCUGUGUGGAAGGGCCAUCGCUCAAAGGAUAAAAGGUACCCCGGGGAUAACAGGCUGAUCUCCCCCAAGAGCUCACAUCGACGGGGAGGUUUGGCACCUCGAUGUCGGCUCAUCGCAUCCUGGGGCUGUAGUCGGUCCCAAGGGUUGGGCUGUUCGCCCAUUAAAGCGGUACGCGAGCUGGGUUCAGAACGUCGUGAGACAGUUCGGUCCCUAUCUGCCGUGGGCGUAAGAAGAUUGAGGAGAGUUGACCCUAGUACGAGAGGACCGGGUUGAACCGACCACUGGUGUACCGGUUGUUCUGCCAAGAGCACCGCCGGGUAGCUAAGUCGGGAUGCGAUAAGAGCUGAAAGCAUCUAAGCUCGAAGCCGACUCCAAGAUGAAUCUUCUUUUAAGAGCUCUAGUAGACUACUAGUUUGAUAGGCCGGAUGUGUAAUGGAUGAAAGUCCUUUAGCUGACCGGUACUAAUAGCUCGUUUGCUUAUCUU